UAAAGUAGUUUAUCUCAGGGA
rnacentral:piRNA from 1 species